rnacentral:rRNA from 1 species
GUGUGACUGCGUACCUUUUGUAUAAUGGGUCAGCGACUUAUAUUCUGUAGCAAGGUUAACCGAAUAGGGGAGCCGGAGGGAAACCGAGUCUUAAUUGGGCGUUAAGUUGCAGGGUAUAGACCCGAAACCCGGUGAUCUAGCCAUGGGCAGGUUGAAGGUUGGGUAACACUAACUGGAGGACCGAACCGACUAAUGUUGAAAAAUUAGCGGAUGACCUGUGGCUGGGGGUGAAAGGCCAAUCAAACCGGGAGAUAGCUGGUUCUCCCCGAAAGCUAUUUAGGUAGCGCCUCGUGAAUUCAUCUCCGGGGGUAGAGCACUGUUUCGGCUAGGGGGCCAUCCCGGCUUACCAACCCGAUGCAAACUGCGAAUACCGGAGAAUGUUAUCACGGGAGACACACGGCGGGUGCUAACGUCCGUCGUGAAGAGGGAAACAACCCAGACCGCCAGCUAAGGUCCCAAAGUCAUGGUUAAGUGGGAAACGAUGUGGGAAGGCCCAGACAGCCAGGAUGUUGGCUUAGAAGCAGCCAUCAUUUAAAGAAAGCGUAAUAGCUCACUGGUCGAGUCGGCCUGCGCGGAAGAUGUAACGGGGCUAAACCAUGCACCGAAGCUGCGGCAGCGACACUGUGUGUUGUUGGGUAGGGGAGCGUUCUGUAAGCCUGUGAAGGUGUGUCGUGAGGCAUGCUGGAGGUAUCAGAAGUGCGAAUGCUGACAUAAGUAACGAUAAAGCGGGUGAAAAGCCCGCUCGCCGGAAGACCAAGGGUUCCUGUCCAACGUUAAUCGGGGCAGGGUGAGUCGACCCCUAAGGCGAGGCCGAAAGGCGUAGUCGAUGGGAAACGGGUUAAUAUUCCCGUACUUGGUGUUACUGCGAAGGGGGGACGGAGAAGGCUAUGUUGGCCGGGCGACGGUUGUCCCGGUUUAAGCGUGUAGGUGUGUGUUCCAGGUAAAUCCGGUUCACUUUAACACUGAGGCGUGACGACGAGGCACUACGGUGCUGAAGCAACAAAUGCCCUGCUUCCAGGAAAAGCCUCUAAGCAUCAGGUAACAUCAAAUCGUACCCCAAACCGACACAGGUGGUCAGGUAGAGAAUACCAAGGCGCUUGAGAGAACUCGGGUGAAGGAACUAGGCAAAAUGGUGCCGUAACUUCGGGAGAAGGCACGCUGACACGUAGGUGAAGUGAUUUACUCAUGGAGCUGAAGUCAGUCGAAGAUACCAGCUGGCUGCAACUGUUUAUUAAAAACACAGCACUGUGCAAACACGAAAGUGGACGUAUACGGUGUGACGCCUGCCCGGUGCCGGAAGGUUAAUUGAUGGGGUCAGCGCAAGCGAAGCUCCUGAUCGAAGCCCCGGUAAACGGCGGCCGUAACUAUAACGGUCCUAAGGUAGCGAAAUUCCUUGUCGGGUAAGUUCCGACCUGCACGAAUGGCGUAAUGAUGGCCAGGCUGUCUCCACCCGAGACUCAGUGAAAUUGAACUCGCUGUGAAGAUGCAGUGUACCCGCGGCAAGACGGAAAGACCCCGUGAACCUUUACUAUAGCUUGACACUGAACAUUGAGCCUUGAUGUGUAGGAUAGGUGGGAGGCUUUGAAGUGUGGACGCCAGUCUGCAUGGAGCCGACCUUGAAAUACCACCCUUUAAUGUUUGAUGUUCUAACGUGGACCCGUUACCCGGGUUGCGGACAGUGUCUGGUGGGUAGUUUGACUGGGGCGGUCUCCUCCUAAAGAGUAACGGAGGAGCACGAAGGUUGGCUAAUCCUGGUCGGACAUCAGGAGGUUAGUGCAAUGGCAUAAGCCAGCUUGACUGCGAGCGUGACGGCGCGAGCAGGUGCGAAAGCAGGUCAUAGUGAUCCGGUGGUUCUGAAUGGAAGGGCCAUCGCUCAACGGAUAAAAGGUACUCCGGGGAUAACAGGCUGAUACCGCCCAAGAGUUCAUAUCGACGGCGGUGUUUGGCACCUCGAUGUCGGCUCAUCACAUCCUGGGGCUGAAGUAGGUCCCAAGGGUAUGGCUGUUCGCCAUUUAAAGUGGUACGCGAGCUGGGUUUAGAACGUCGUGAGACAGUUCGGUCCCUAUCUGCCGUGGGCGCUGGAGAACUGAGGGGGGCUGCUCCUAGUACGAGAGGACCGGAGUGGACGCAUCACUGGUGUUCGGGUUGUCAUGCCAAUGGCACUGCCCGGUAGCUAAAUGCGGAAGAGAUAAGUGCUGAAAGCAUCUAAGCACGAAACUUGCCCCGAGAUGAGUUCUCCCUGAGACUUAGAGUCUCCUGAAGGAACGUUGAAGACGACGACGUUGAUAGGCCGGGUGUGUAAGCGCAGCGAUGCGUUGAGCUAACCGGUACUAAUGAACCGUGAGGCUUAACCUUACAACGCCGAAGAUGUUUUGGCGGAUGAGA